GAUGAACGCUAGCUACAGGCUUAACACAUGCAAGUCGAGGGGAAACGAUGAGAGAGCUUGCUCUCUUAGUCGUCGACCGGCGCACGGGUGAGUAACGCGUAUCCAACCUGCCUCUGACCAAGGGAUAACCCGUCGAAAGUCGGACUAAUACCUUAUGCAGUCGUCGGAAGUCAUCUGAUGACGACGAAAGAUUUCAUCGGUGAGAGAUGGGGAUGCGUCUGAUUAGCUUGUUGGCGGGGUAACGGCCCACCAAGGCGACGAUCAGUAGGGGUUCUGAGAGGAAGGUCCCCCACAUUGGAACUGAGACACGGGCCAAACUCCUACGGGAGGCAGCAGUGAGGAAUAUUGGUCAAUGGGCGUAAGCCUGAACCAGCCAAGUAGCGUGCAGGAUGACGGCCCUAUGGGUUGUAAACUGCUUUUAGGCGGGGAUAAAGUGAGGGACGUGUCCUUCUUUGCAGGUACCGCAUGAAUAAGGACCGGCUAAUUCCGUG
rnacentral:rRNA from 1 species